UACGAAGGGGGCUAGCGUUGCUCGGAAUUACUGGGCGUAAAGCGUGCGCAGGCGGUCAUGCAAGACAGAUGUGAAAUCCCCGGGCUCAACCUGGGAACUGCAUUUGUGACUGCAUGACUAGAGUACGGCAGAGGGGGAUGGAAUUCCGCGUGUAGCAGUGAAAUGCGUAGAUAUGCGGAGGAACACCGAUGGCGAAGGCAAUCCCCUGGGCCUGUACUGACGCUCAUGCACGAAAGCGUGGGGAGCAAACAGG
rnacentral:rRNA from 1 species